GGAGAUCAACGAGUUAACCAAAUAACUGACUAAGCAUGUAGUGCCGAGGAUGUAGGUUUUUCGGACGGGGGUUCGACUCCCCCCAUCUCCACCA
rnacentral:tRNA from 1 species